UUUUUUUUUUUUUUUUUUUUUUGCAAGUCAAUCAACUUCUAUACUAUUCUUAAGGAAGGACCGACCUAAUGGAACAAGAGUGGUCAGAGAGAGUGGUUCCGACCUUUAGAAAUAUACAACGUUAAUAGAUGACAAAACCAUAAAAUUAAAGAAUAUGUUCCUUUAGUUUUUGUUCUUUCCUUCCUUUUUUUUUUUUUUUUUUCCUUUCCUUUCCCGAAAAGCGAAAAUGCAACACAAGACCACCCUGACUCCAGAUAGUAACUUGGAGAACAAACAAAUUAACUAUAUUCCCAGAAUUAAUCACUCCAAAACUAUGUACAUUACCUGGAAUCAUCAAUUUACAUGCUGUGCCAGCCCGGGUACACUAAAACAAUGUAUCAGCAUGUAUCAACACGUUUAAUGAUAAGCGAAGACAUGUGGUGACUUGCAAAACUCUGAUAAAUUCUUCCUCAAACCUCUUACAAACACAGUCCUUAUCUAAGAUAUAUCAUGCAGGAAAGGAUCAUCGAAAAGUAGCUCGGACCAAUAGGAGGAAGAUCCUUCGACGUUGCUGGAGGUGCUGCUAGCAUCCCCUAUAUUGCUUAUCGAGGUUUCAGUCAGAGGUGGAAGUGUAGAAGAAGAAUCAGGAGAAGGAAGAAUCCAGGAAGAGUUAGGUGUAUUGUCUCCUUGGCUGACCCUUGUGAAAUUUGGAAUGCGUACAACUUCAUCAUUAUUCAAAUGUGUUUGGAAAUGGAAAGGGACUUGUGGGUCUGGAAUAUUAGGAGCAUUUGAGGUGAUGGGCUGGUGGAGCAGUUGAGAAUUAGCAAUAUUUUCAAUCGAAACUGAUGGUGGUUGAUUUUCAAAGUCGGACAAAUUCAGACUUGGAAUUUCUCUAAUCUGAGGAAUCGAACUGAUCGAAUUAACUGUUCCCAAGUCGCCGGGGUUGAAAUGGCUGUUUGAACUAGUUGUCAUUGAAGGGGAAGUUUGGAGGAGACAUUGCAAAUAUUGAAUCUUAGCCAAUUGAACCGCUUCUGCUUGUAACCUCGCAGCAUGUUCUUCCAACUGAUGAUGCUCAAGUAUAUUUGCUAAGGCUAUGAGAUUAGGCAAACUUGAAAACAGGUCAGUUCUUGGUUGAUGAGUCAUCGGAUCAUAUCCCAUUUGGAUCAGUUUCUUCUUCAAAUGAGUGUUCCAAAAAUUCUUGAUUUCAUUAUCUGUGCGACCUGCCAGGUGCGUUGCAAUUGCUGACCACCUUUCAAUGGAAAUUUUUACGAUCGUUAAGAUCAUCAAAAGAAGGAGAAAAGAAUAAAAAGGACUAGAAAAUGUUCUGAAAUAAAAUUGACGUACAAAUUUAGGCUAAUGAUAAUUAGCUUACUACGGAAUAAAUGACAUAGAUAACGAGGGUGAAGAGAUAAUUACUUGUUUCCUAGGAUGGAAUGGAGAUGAAGAAUUGUCUGUUCUUCCUCUUGUGAAAAUUUUCCUCUCUUGAUAUCAGGCCUCAAGUAAUUAGUCCACCUCAGCCUACAACUUUUGCCACAUCUGUUUAGACCUGCAAAGAGGAUGAAUAAUUCAGAAGAAUACCAGCUUGAUCAUGGCAUGCAUGGGGAUGAUUAAUCAAACUAGUGGUUGUGAGUUUUGAUCAUAACCUAUACCUGCAAGCUUGGGAAGGGCUCUCCAACUGCCAUGGCCAUGUUUUUGGAUGUAAUCGAUGAGUUUCUCAUCUUCUUCAGGAGUCCAGGGACCUUUCUUGAGGCCAUUUUCAUCACAGCAGGGAGACCUUCCCAUUGUUGCAAUAUUUCCUCUCUUUUUUUUCUUUUUCUUUUUUUUUGUGGGUUAUGGGAAAGCUUGCUUCUUUGCUCAACCGAAGGUGGGCAAGAUUAGUAUUUAUACAAGUUUCAGUCUUCAAUUUACUAUUAUUUUUCUCAAUUCGAGAAAGGGACAAAACUAGCAGAUGUGACACUUCCUCUAAUUGGGCGACAUAAGCAAUGUCGUAACAAUAAGACAAAAUAUUAUGCCUUAAUCCAAUUUGUCUAAUUUACAAUACUAGAAAUUCAGAAAUCAAAAUCAGGACAUGACAAAUAAAAAUGGUGAGGUUUGUGGCCGGAGGCUUAUUCAUUGUUCAUCCAUCUCCAGCACAACUUUAGAAGACCAUACAGGAAACUAAAAAUUUAUUGAAACUUGCCCAGAGGUAUGAUUUGUGUUAAUAGAUAAUUUAUGAAUUUUCUGCAAGAAGCACCAAAAACCAGUGAUAAAAGAAAUCAGAAUUUUUCUUUCAUUUCAGAGGCAGUAUUUUGAUUUGCAACUAAUGACAUUACAUAUAUCCCAAAUGAAAUUGUUGAAGUUAUAUGUCAAACAACAUGGAUGGUGGAUAGUUAGUUCCCGAUCGAUCAUGGGGAUGUAAGGCCAUAUACGUACCCAAUAGAAGCUCAAUUUAUCAUUUCAUGAAAUUUAUCAGAACAAGUUUCGUUCCAUACGAUGUCUUCCCAAAUCAUAGAAUAAUAAGGAAUUCAACAUGUACAUAUGAACAUAAGAUUCUCCAAAAAUGAUUUUAUAGUUACGUCAAUAACAAUAUGUAAACCAAGUGGAUUUGGUUAGGAAAUUAACGAUAUUUAACUCGUUAAAUUUGACUAGCAAGUCACUAAAAUGAAUCUUAAAUAAAUUAUUCUACUACGAUUCUUUAAUUAAUUAGACUGCUGUCGGUUAUCAGUAUACAAUAACCUAGGCAAUGAUUCAUAGUCACUACCAAUUAUCCAUUGAGCUAGAAAAUUUCGGUGAACUUUUAGCAUAGGUGUGAUAGAAACACGCCAAAACUGCAGAUAUCCAAGGUACAUCGAAAUAAAAAAAAAAAAAAAAAAGGCAUAAUUUCAGCAAUCCCCCUGAGGUUUUUUUUGACAUUAUCAUUAUGCACCAACGAGUUUUGAAAAAUAACAUCUACCUCCCUUGCCAAUUUGAAAAAUAACCCUUUUGUUUGCUAUGGUUAUACCAAUAAUGGGUUUCAGAAUUACAUUUUUUUUCCUUUUCCUUUUUAGUCCUCUUUUCUAUAUUUUAUCAGCAUAACCAUUAAACUACCAACAUUGCUCCUAGCCCUUUUUUUCAUGGGAUAUCAGACUAGAGAUCUUUUUUGACAAGUUAACUUUCAAUGCAUUCUAAUUUUUUUUACUGAUCUUGUUUAUCAAAAUCAACACUAACUCAAAAAAAAAAAAAAAAAAAGGCUUGAACCCACUAGCAAACUAUGGCAAUUUCAUCAAUCCAAAAAUCUAUAAACUCCAAAAGAAUUAUAGCAACAUUUUCUUCUCCAUCUUGGAAAUCUCCAUCCCCAAUAAAGUGUCAUAAAGAAUAACAUAUUGAAAUAAUAGAGUGAUUAUUGUAGUUGCUUAUCAAACAACAAAUAUGGGCACGGUAAACUCGAUUCUUAUUCUUUAUAAUUAUGCCAAAUUAUUUUACAGUUAUUUGGGAAAGUAAAUCAAACCUAUUAAAAGAGGGCAUUUUAGGUUUCAUUUAAACUUUUGUCUAGCUAAUGUUAAUUUUUAGGUCCUUGUUAUUAAAACUAUCAAAUCAAGGGAGGCAUCUAUAAAUUUUAAAACUUCAGGGGUGCUUAGUAAAAUUGUCAAAAAAAAUACUCAAGGAGGCUUUUGGAAUUAUCCCAAACAAAAAAAGGUAGGACAAUCGGAUUAAAUUAACAAGUUUGGUUUCAACAAAGAAAAUAUCCGAUGGCCAAGAUUCUAUUAACGAUUACUCUUUUUGAAGAACACAAUCAAAUAUGUGAUGCUAUUCAAUAAGCUCAUCAGUAAAGACUAUAUAGUUUUUCCCCAGCUGAAGACUCUAAUGGAUCCGAUCACACCUCCCUGUUUGCUGCCAAGAUGUAUAAUACACUUGUUAAAGACUUUAGUAUAAUUUGAGACCAUAGGAAUCUCAAUUUUUUGAAACUUGAUCUCAUGAAGGACAUCUUCUAUAGUAAUUUCGCAAGGGAUAACUUCAUAAACAAAAAAUUCUAAUAAAGAGACAAUCAAGAACGAUUGCAGAGUAACAUCCAUACUGACAAUUGCCGAUUCAUUCGGAACCUCAAUUGUACACAUAAAAUAUUGCAUCCAGAGGGGCCAAUAAAUAAUCACAACUUUGAAAGAGAGAGAAGAUCGAGAAAAAAAUCCAACUAAAAUUGAACCAAAUUUGAAUUAGUUAUGUAAACUACAAAUUGAUCUUACGUGCUUGAGCUACCUCUUGGCCACGAUGGCUUGUUAAAUACGAGUGUGGCGCAAUAGGUUUAUGCCCGCACGUAAACUAACAGAACUUCCCUAGAGAAGGAGCAUUAAAAUAGCAAAACUUUAAACAGAAAAAAAAAAUUUAUUUGAGUAGAAUUAGAUUAUUAUGUUGACCUUUGUGAAAGAAAACUCAGAGCGUUAGGGUAACUUUUCAGCUAGAAGGAGACUACUGUAAAGGCAAUUGAGUUGAUUAAUCAAAAGACAACGGCUGGUUAGAAGGGAAGUUGGUGCAGCCGACCUCCUAAAUCUUCACCUGUUUUUUGAAAAAAAUAAGAUCACUUUAGAUCAUGACUUCUAUCCUUUAAUUAAUCACUUGUUUCUUUUCUUGUUGUCUUGGUUAAACUUUUGAUUCGUGUGCAUAAACUACGUUGAAUUUUUGUUGAUUCCAGGAUAUAUAUGAUUGUGAGUAACGGUUUCAUGUUUCACAAGCAACAGUUUUCAUGCAUGGGACAAAUAUUAUGACCAGACCUCUGCUUUUUAGAUAUUUGAACCUCAGAAGCAAAAAAAUUUUCUUACCAAACGCGCAAACUUGAGAGCAGCAACAUGGAGUCCAAUUUUUAAUUUAGCUUCCACUUAAAAAAUUAUGAGGGCUGUCGGCAUUUGGCUUUAGUUUUCCCUGCAGCCUUAAAAAAUUCGGUAAGUCCAAUUCGAACUUUACUAUUAUCGAACAGAAUACAUAUGUAGAAGGAUGACAGGAAAAAAAAAAUUUACUAUCUCUGCGGUGUUGUCCUUUAAAUGUAGGAUCACAUGCCAUAAACAGUGCGAAAAGAAGAAAAUAUAGUGAAUAAAUCUUACUAUAAUGCUUAUAUAUGUCUCUGUGGUGCAGUGGAAUGGAGUUAAUUAAGAGGGUAGUUUCUGUUUCAAACAUAUGUAUAUUCUCUUUUUUUUAUUAUUAUUAUUUAUUAAAGCCGACAUUUAUUUUAUUAGGUUGAUUGGAAAAUAUUGAGGGUCUUAUGUUAUUGAGCACUAGUGAAAAGAGUACCAUUUACUCAAGAAGGGCCAAUAAUUUCAUAUGUUACUAGUUGCUGAGUUCAAUAUUUACUUAAAAAUCUUACCAAAAAAAAAAAAUGCCCACAAGAUGGAUUUAUUUAUUUAUUUAUAUUAGAUUAGUCAUUAUUGUCAAUCGGUUGCCAUGAAAGGUCUGCAAGUUUGGCAAAUACAGGUUCAUUAAUUAGAGAUAAUCGCUAAACAAAUAGGUCAACGGUCAACCUAAUAACCUCGGAUCAUAUGUUUGUCUGCUUUCUGCCUUUCUUUGGGUCCAUUCUCAAGUGCAAAAAAACAUGGCAAAGACAGCACGCUAUCUCACAUAGACACACAAUGCAAUAAAAUUACACUACUAAUUAUGACUUCAAGUUUUGUAUAAUUGAGGAGAAUAAUUAGAGAGGUAAAUGUAACAAGAAGGCUAUAUAUAUAUACUUAUCGUUCUCAUUUAAACAAUAAUAUAUACUGAGACCUUCAUAUUUAUUUUCAACUUGCUAGGAUUUGGAGUUUCUUAAUUUCCACUAACCAAGAUUAGGGAUAGUUUCUUCCAGAACACAUAAUCUUCAGUUUGACAUCAUGGAUUGACUAAUGCUGGAGAUAAAGUACUCUAUGUUGUUAGAAAUCGGUAGAAGUUUUUGCAUCCAAUUUCAACAUUAACAACUAAUUUGCUUGCAGAGACUGCUGUCCAACCAAUUUACCUCUAAGACUUGAUGUCGUGGCCAUUCUGCAGUUGGCUUCAAAAUCCUCCUAGCUAGCUCCAAUUCCAUUUAGAGAGAGAUCAGAUUACUUGCUAGCUAGUCAAGAGCAAAAGCUCCAAUAGCCGGAUUACAAGAUAUUACCUUCAAUUUUGACUAUUCAAUCCGACCAUGUACAUAUUUAACUAUUCAAUAACCCCAAAAAAAAAAAAAAAAAACCAUCAUGUCUGGGUACAUGUUCUUCCUUCUUGAAAAACUGCUGAUCAAUUCUUACUAGGGCUUUUACUCAUUCUCAUCUUUGUCCUUUCCCUUCAAAAAGAAAAAUAAAUAUAAACCAAGAACAUAUCCAGCCAUAUUCGUGAUGCUAUAUGGUUAAAAACUUGCAUUAUGCGUAGAAAGGGAUAAAACAAAAUGCAUAUAGAAGUAGAACUUGACUGAUGAAGCAAGAGAUGGAAGGUACCUCGGGAAACCUUUAGUAUAAAGUGUGCUGGUGACCUAACCAAGACUACAAUUCUUUUGGUAUACAAUGAACUCUUCCAGGAAACUAAAAGACUGAGUUGGGUUCAGAAACGAUCAUCGAAGAAAAUUCAAAAUCAAACCAUGGCUAGUAGUAUACCAUCAUUUCCGUUCAACUUUGAUUAAUGAGGAUGUUAAGUAUAUAUCACAACCACAUGAAUGAUUAUUUUUCAUUAAUCAUGAAAGUUGCUUUAAAUUUGAAGAAAGACUUGCAACAUGAUAAAAUUAUUAGCAACGCAUCUUAAACACCUCGUGCAAAUGGAUCUGGAAGCAACUUUCAACAUACAAUAAUAUUAGGGAUAAUUUCAGAAACCUCCCCUGAGGUUUUUGACAAUUUCACUGAGGUCCCCUGAGAUUUGAAAAAUUACACAUACCUUCUUUGAUUUGAUAGUUUAAGUAACAAAAUCUUAAAAUAAUAUUGACUUGGUCAAAUUUUUAAAUGAAUACCCAAAAAUGCACUUGUGUAAUGAGUUGUAAUUUACUUUCCUAUACAAUUAUAAGAUUAUCUAGUAUAAUUAUAAAAAAAGGUGUCAAAAUUUUCAUGUCCAUGCCUAAUAUUUGAUAAACAACUAUAAUAAUAAUUUUAUCAUUGUAAUAAAAUACUUUUGAUGCUAUUUUAUUAUGGAUUUAAAUUUAUAAGAUAGAAAAGAAAAUAUUGAAAUAAUUCAUUUAGAGUUUAAGAAUUUUCUAGUAGUGGGAUAAUCAUGAUUUCGUAGUGGUUUUUGGCCAUUUCUUUUUUAUUUAUUGUUAAUUUUAAUACCAAAAAAUAGAAAACAAAGAUCAGCAAAAACAUUGGAUUGCAUAUAAAGUUAAUUCAUCAAAAAAAUCAAUAGUUCAACAUUUGAUUAUAAUAGAAACUAGAGGUAAUAGUGGUAGUUCUACAAUUUUAUUGGCAAAAAUUAAAAACAAGGAAUAAAAAGGAAAAGGAAUAAAAAAUAAUUUUAAAAGUCAUUCUAAGUAUAAAUAUACCAAAAAAGGGAAUUUUAUUAAAAUAUAUAAGGGUAGUAUUGUCAUUUUAAAUGACAAGGGAGGUAUGUGUAAUUUUAAAAAUCUCGAAAGAGCUAAAUGAAAUUGUUAAAAACCUCAAGGGAGGUUUCUGAAAUUAUCCCAUAAUAUUAUUGCUUUUCGACUAGGAAGUUCAGAAACACUUAAAUUUUUUUAACAAUAUAUGCACAUAUAACGUUGCAUUAUUUUUAAGUUUCAUGAUUGGCUUUUCUUAUUAUUCUUUUUUGUAUGCUUCCACCCAAAACAGGUGUAUUUGUUCGGGAAAAUGGAAUGGGAUGCAAUAUUUUUGGAUUUAUCAUUUGUUUGAAUAAAAAAUGUAUGAGAAACCAGGCGCUAUCAUUUUUAUGAAGCAAGAAAAUUUUAAAUUUAUAGAUUUGACCAAGUCAAUUACUUGAUAUGAUGAGGUCAUCAGUUAGAAAUCGUUUAAAACAUAGGUAAGACGUUAGUUUGAAUUAGUUUCUACCCACAAUCCAAUGAUGACAUUGAGUAGAUAAUUUCCGUCCAGAAUGAUCAAAAGUAUGUACGUUAAUUUUUUUUAUGAUUGAAAUUCUUCUUAAUUAUGCAUGUAUGGUCUUACCAAACUAGUUCUACUCAGCCUUCAAACGGGAAAUAUUACAAUAGUCCAGGUUUCUGUUCCUAUUCCUCUUUUUUUUUUUUUUUUGGUAUUAGCUAAUCUAUUGGGGGAAAAACAAUAGAAAACAAGCAAAAGAUAAUAUAUCACAAAGUGAAGAUGAGGAACAUAAUUUAUGAUCAACUUUGAUGUCACUAGAUAUUAAGCCAUCAACCACCGCAUCUUUUUGUUGGCUAAACUCCCACUUAACACUGACAUCACCUUGAAAAUGGUAGUCCAAUAGUGAUUUGUAGCCUGUUUGGUAUUUGCAGAAAAAUUGAUUAUGUCAAGUGCUGGUAUUCCUCCAUUCAAUUAAAAAAAAAGAAAAGAAAAGAAAAUUUCUUCCACCAUGUUCUUCACUGCCGUCUCUUUCAGCCUAACUGUUUCAACAGUUAAUCUCUGCAAAGAUAAUCCCUCUAAUCUUGAGGACAUAGAAAGCGUUUUGAUAGUUCCCCAAUAUGAUGGUUUUGCGGGAAAAGUAGUAAAAUAAAAACUAUCCUAUUAAUUAAUUACAUCAUUGGGAAUAUCGAAACUAAAGUUUCAUAUCCGGUAAAUAUUGUAAGCUUUAAUCAUGUAGUUGUACAUUUUUUUUAGUGCAGGCUUGCAGUGGAGCUAUGUACAUGAAUAUGUAUAGAGUGGCAUCGUGCAAAUGAAUCUGUGCAUGUCGCACCUUUUGAAUUGACGAAUUCCAUUGCAAAUUUGAUUCCCAAAUUUGACGAUGCGACUAAUUACGGAUGGAAACAAAUAUCAAUUUGUUGAGUUUGUCUUUGUAUCUCACGUCGAAAAUUUACAAAAAAAUAUCUCCUCUUGGUGGUUAUAAAUAUAAUGGACUUAAUUGAGUUUAAUUAUGCUAAGCACACCCGUUCUUUAAAUGUCAUAUGCACCAAUUCAAUAGAGUUUUGGGGGGUUCACGCCCCAUUUUGAGAGAAGUUUUGGUUUGACAUCAAACUAAAAGAGCGAGUCAUGAGUCUUGGGCCAUUAAGCAUUUAGUGCUAUUUAGAUUCUUUUGUAUUUUCAAUUUUAGGUGACUUUUGGACUUGAAAUUUAUUUCUUAGGGUUUUGUACUCUUUUUCUGUUAUAAUAAAUCUGCUAGCCUUCGCCCGUAAAUUGGACUAAAUCACGUAAAUUUCGUGUUUCUCUGUUUGAUUUAUUUGUUUUGUUAUUGUCAUUAUUGAGUUAUCAAGAAUUUUAUUAUUCUUAUUUGUCAAUUUUUUGGGGUUAGACCUAACAACUUGAUAUCAGAGUUUCAGGUUUCAGGUUCUGGGCUUCAAGAGAGUUUCAGGUUUCAGAUUUUGGAUUCUUAAUGAUAAUAACAGAUUUUUGGUGCUACAGAGAGUGAAGAAAAAAAUUUCAUUGAAGUUCAAUUGAAUUUUUGAGAAGAAUUAAUUGGCCAGUUGGAAUUCAUUGAGGGUUUUGAGAAGAAGGUGGAGCAAAAUUACUAUGUUUGUGAUUUUUAGUUCAUUAGGAUCUGUUGAACCUUUUGUGAGAUUUGGUCCAUUGGGAUCUGUUGAACCUUUUGAAUCUUGGUUUAUUAGUGGCUCGUUGGGGUUUGUUGAGACCUGGUGGUUCGUUGAGAUCCGUUAGAACUCUUAUGGAGAAGAUGGAACUUGUUUGCUAUUCGUCUGCUAUUUGUCGAUAUUGGAUACACGCCAAGGUGAAGAUUGUUGAGUUUAUCUUUGCAUCUCACAUCAAAAGUUUAUAAAAAAAAAUAUAUCUUCUCUUGAUGGUUAUAAAUAUAGUAAACUUAAGUGAGUUUAAUUGUGUUGAAGGCACCAGUCCAAGUGUAAUAUGCACCAACCCAAAAAGUUUGGAGGGACUUACACCCCAAUCUGAGAGGAGUUUUGGUUUGACAUCAAACCAAAAGAGCAUGUCAUAAGACUUUGGCCUAUUAAGCAUUUAAUACUAUUUAGACUUUUUUGUGUUUUCAGUUUUAGGUGUCUUUUGGAUUUGGGAAUUAUUUUUUAGGGUUUUGUACUCUCUCUUUUAUACUCUUUUCUGUUAUAGUAAAUCUGCUAUCCCUUCAUUCGUGGACGUAGGUCAAUUGGAUCAAAUCACUUAAAUUUCAUUUGAUUUAUUUGUUUUGUUAUUGUCAUUAUUGAGUUGCCAAGAACCAUAUCAUUCUCAUUUGUCAAUUUUCUGAACCAGACCUAACACAAUUUCAUCUUUUUCCUAGUUUUAUUGCCCAAAGUAAUACAUUUUGGCUUUGCAUAUUCAUCAUAAUAGCAAAAAACCAUUCCUUUUUCAAAAUAUAUAUGACUCAUAUCUUCUUUUUUUUUUUUAAUUCUAGAGAUGUACUCAUUCUCCUGCAAAUCAAGCUUCAUAAAUUGAAAAGCAAAAAGAAAGACGAAGUGGAUUACUGAACAUUUAACCAACUUAUCUUAGACAAAUUGGCCAUCAAAAUGGAUUUAAAAAAUCUCAUUGAACUGUAAGUUAAGUGUUCAAAUUUCACAGUUUGAAGUUAAAAGAAUAUGUCAAAACUCCUCUUUAAUCUAGAUGGGCCUUCUUCUCUCUAGACCCCCUCCUCUGUAGUCUGUAGAAUACAACAAUAUAGAUGUUGCUGAUUGACAAAAAAAAAAAAGAGACUCAACAUUUUGAUAGCAGAAAUUCGAAAUUUGAAGGAAUUGGGUAACAGUUCUUAUGUUUCUUUUGCCUCGGGCCCUGGGCUUGACCAUGCUGACAAUUCGCGAUUGAGAAAUGUGAAUCUUCUAAUCCAAUUUCUGAGUUCGGACUUCUGCAAGCCGGCGGAGAAGAGCGAAGAAUUGUGUCGUUUUUCGUUAUUACAUUUUUGUUUUUUUUUUUUUUAUAUAUAUCAAAUCGCUAUAGUAAUUUUUCUAAAAAAAUUCAAAAAAAUGCAAUCCAAACAAGGCAUGCGUAUUCUUGAAACUUGUUCAGAGGAUGGAUUCCCUUCCUACUCCCUGUUUCAGAACUCCAUCUAAAACUAAAAUGAUUUUGCUGUCGACCCAGUUUGUAAUGCAAUAUGUAUUGAUAAAGCCCUCAAUAAACUGAUUUAAAAAGGGGAAAAAAAAAAGGUAAAGGCAUGAGUCGAAUUUGACCAAAUUUGUGCAUCCAUCAGACGACGAACCCUAUAGGCGUGUUGUUGCCAAGUCAAAUAGCGCGUUUAGAUGACAUACGCCUCCAAAUCUUGUGCAGCCAAGAAUUUCCCUAUUGUCAAUGAAUUUGUAACGAGUCAAGACCACUCAAAGAUCGUGUUGCCUAUCCUCAAACAUUGUCCAUCAACCUAUAGUUUUAUGAAAUUAUUGAAUGAUUCUUUCUAAUUGUAGAUAUGAAUGGUAUAGAUGAUGUUAAAAAAUAAUUUCUUGCAAAACAAAAUGUUGUACGUAAUUAGUAUAGAGCUACUAGUCAUGCAUGCAAAUUAAUCAAGUUCUCCAAGAAAGAGUAGUGUGUGAGCACACUUAGACGUAGGAAGGAAAUUAAGAUAGCUCAUUAAAAGGCUGUCUCAAGUCUCAGCUAAUUCUUCAUCUUGUCACAAAAGCAAUUAAUGUAGGCUGUCUCGAGGGCAACCAACCAACACCUCACAUUCUAAUUCAAUAACUCCUCUUACAAUACAUCUCCUCCUUCCUCAUCACCUUCGUCCCCUAUUCAGCAGCCCUGAGUGCCAGUACCAGUAGAACUCCUGGAAAACACGAUCGAGCUUAUAAAAUCAAGAAAAGGUCGACAUAUAAUUUGCCACUAACAAUGGUUAAUGAUGCAGUUUUUCGCUCAGCACUGGCUUGGUUGGCUGCAAUGGUGUUGCUAGUGGGAUUGUGCACCCAAUCUUUCAAGAAAAUGUUGGUCACUUACAUCCUGGGGAUGUUUGCAAUCAGUGGAGUUCUUUUGCCUGAUUGGGAAUUCUUCGACCGGAGGUUCUCUCAGUGGCGCACCCCUUUAACAGUCGAUGAGAAGCGAACUCCGCGAUCUGUUCACACCCAAGCUACACCAACCGGGUAAAACAUGACCUUUUCGUAUAAAUCCUCAAGAAUUAGAACUUAUGAUUUUCCCCAGCCUAAAAGAGCAAAGAAAGGAAUUUUGAAAUAAAAUACAGCCCAUCUGCCAUGACUAUUCUAUUAUGUUCACCCCCACUUAAAAUAAUUUUGAUUCCUUCUUGUGUUAUUACUAAGGUUGCGGUUAAUAAAACUGAAAUCUGAAAUUUUUAAAAUUUAGAAAUUUGAAUCCGUUGAGUUACUAAAUUGUUCAGUACUAAAUAAUAAUAAGUAAAUAAGUUAUCAUUUAUUGUUUAGAGCAAAAUUUUGAUUUAGUAAAUUUAGUGUUACUUAAUUAAUUCAAAUGUUUUAUUUUUUGUUAUAAAACAGAUUUGAACUUAUUAAGUUUAAGCGUUGAAUUCGAUUAUAAAAUAGGGUCUAAAUGUUAAUAUUAUCCUCUUGUUCUAUUAAUUAAGUGUAAGUACAAGGAUUGAAAUGUAGUUUGACUGACUACAAGAAUUAACACGAAGACAAAGGUGUAACGAAGUAAUAAUUUUAAGCAGAUGUAAAUGGUUACAUAUGUUUUCCCAUUAUGUUAGUACACAAAAAUGAAAAAUCUCAUAUGUAUGGAGACUAAUACUUUAGGGUUUUACGAAACAUGAAUAUAUAUAUAUUUGUCUGACAGGCAGGCACACAAGGUGAAAAAAAAAAAAAAAGACAAGAAAAGCAAACCUUCAAAUUAGAAAAACAGCCAUCUCAACUCGUUUCCUUUAUUUAUGGGGUUUUUUUUUGGGGUGUGGAUAAACUAUUAUGUUGGCUUAUACACAGGCAAUCCUUCCAUUUAUUAAGAUUUUGCUUUGAUUGCUAUUCAUUUUUUUUUGUGCAAUUACUCAUAUGGAUCAUGAGUUUUUCUGCAGGUUUAGGAUACAUCCAAUCAGAGUGGCCAUUUACACGAUCGUUUACGGGUUUGGGUUUUACAAGUGGUGGAUGUUCGUAUCAACCUAAUUCAAUUGUGGAAACUAAAUGGCACUUCAUUUGCCUGUAAUAUCGAUCUGCAUCUCUAAAUUAUGAUGACAUUCGUCAUUAAGCUCAAUAGCUGUGACAUGUUAAGUUGUAGUAUGAUAUUCAACUCAUCUUUCAAGGGGAAGACUUGAAUAUGGAGAAACUAAUAAUGCAUAUUUAUUUUCUGUUGUUCUAGUUUUUUUUUUCGGUCGCGCGAAGAGAAAAUUUUCACUAGCUUUCAAAAAAUGUUGAACAUGUACCCUUGAAAUUAUUUUUGCAAGUACUUGAGAUAAACGAUCCAUUUAAAAUUGGGUUAAUUAGAUUGAGAUCCUAAGAGUUAGUGAUAAAUUAUGAUAACCUCCAUGUAAAAUUGAAAAAUAAAUACAAAAGAAAUAGAGGAACGAAAGUAGCUAGCAAUAGAAAAAAGAGCUUUAAUUAUGACGGUGCUCCCCCACCCCAUCUCUGGGCCUGUCAAUUGGAUUGGGUUGGCUCGAGGUCAACUCGAUCGGGUCUAAAUUUAGCGGAUUAAGCCUUAUACAGUAUGAGCUGAGUUGAUUAUUGUCUGGCGGAAUUUGGGUUACACUGAACUCAACCCACUUAAUACUAGGUCCAAACAAUACAUGUACUAGAGCUCAUAUGUGAGAAUUAAGAAUAUUUAUUUAUCUAAAUUCAGCCAAAAAUUGAAAUUUAUAUGGAUAAUUUUAUGAUAAAUGUUUUUUUUCAAUAUGUAGUUGGUAGGUGUAUAGAUGUUAUGGUAAACCAUACUAUUUUUUAUCAUGAAAUUCAAACUUUUACAGAUAUUUUAACUUUUUAUAGAACAUUUUUUGAUAAGCUAGUUGUUCGGUUUAACUAAAUUUUGUGAAUAUGAAAAAUAUAUGAAGUGAGUUUGGGUCUGCCCCAACUAGGACCUGCACUCGACUUUUUUGGUGGACCGAGUAUGAGUUUUAAAAAUAUGAGCCUAACUAAAGUGAAAUUGAGUUCGAAAAAAUGAUAUUCAAACUCAACUCACAUAAUCCAAUUGACAACCCAACACAUCUUUCAAUAGAUGCUAGAUAGUUUAUUUUAGGAUUCAGGAAAAAGUCAACCUUAAUUUUAGCUCUCCCAAAUUAAUGCUCUUGAAUUAAGAAAUGCUUUUCAAAUUUUUAGAAUCUCUAGAAAAAUUGUACUCCUCAUUUCUCUCGAUGCAACAUCGCUUAUUUUUAAUUUUAAAGUUAACAAAAUAAGGUUGGAGGGAAUUCUUACCAAAAAUUAACUACCACGUAAUUUUUUGCAGAAAAAUUUUCAUAAAUGUCCAUGAAAAUAGUCCUUAUUACAUUUUUUUAAUUAUAUGAGUGUUUGGAUAGCAAAUUAUCCCAAAUAAUAGUUCGCUUGCAUCAUAAACACAUUUUCUAAUCCACCUUUUUAUAUUCUCAACCACCUUUUUUAUCUCGCAUACAUCACAUCACAAAAAAUGAUACGAUAAUUAUUCCAAAUAAUACUCUAUCAAAACAAACUAAGAUCUCACAAACAUUACAUUUUAGAAAGAGUGACACAGUAUAUUUUUCUACAAAAUCUCUCAAAAAAUUACAAUCCCAACAGGCUCUAAUUUUCUUUCUUUAUGUUUUCUUCCCAAAGAUUAAAACAUUAUUGAUUCCCCUAUUGGAUUUGAUUAAGGAGUGCUUAGUGGACUUUCGAUUUAGAGAGGUUUCAGAAACGCAUAGAAGCUGCCACUGAGGGAGAGAAUAAGGUUAAAAAUGUAAACUCAUGCAGAAGAGCCACUCCUCCAGUCCCUUCCCCCGCCUCCAAAUUGCCAGCCCUUCCUUCGGCAUAUAAAGUCCUUGACCUCCUCGUCUUCGUCCUCCUCCUUCCUCCGCUUCUUGAAAAAAAUUCCCCUGCAGGACGCCACCCUGCAACAGAAAAGUACAAGAAAGAAAAACCCUCCACACUAGAGAUGAGGCUAUUAACCCAUAACAUGCUUUCAUCAAACAUCAAGGGUGUAACGAAUGGGUUUCCCCUAAGGAUUGAAGUGGAGAAAGUGGUGGAGAAGUCAGUGGAUUUCAACCCCGAUUUCCUCAAGAACAUGCUUGCCAAGAUUGAGUACAAAGCCCUCGUGGAAGCUUCCAGAAUCAUGGGCUAUGCGGAGUUGCCCGACCACGCCGAGCCGUCCAUGUUGGAAUCUGAUGAUUUUCUUCGGAAGUUUCACCAUGCCUUAAUGGAGCUUCAUUUGGAAGAGGGUACUUUGGUUUGCCCUCAAACUGGUCGCAAGUUUCCUGUUAAUAAAGGGGUUCCUAAUAUGCUCCUCCAUGAGGAUGAGGUCUGAUUUUUUUGGAUCUGUCUUUGAUGACAGGGGAUCAGGGUUUAAGGGACUUUGGAUUAUGAGAUGUAAUUGGUGUAAUGAUGUUAUUGAUGGAGAAUUUGUAGCCUCUUUUGCUGGGAAUCCUUCUUCAUCCAAGUCUUUUGUGAUCCAUUCUCCUGUUUAGCAAAUAUUAAUAUUUAAUAAUCUUUUGUUUUCUGAGAGUACGGGUUUAAUUGUUGAGUAAUUAAAUGCCAAAUAGUCUGUGUGAAGCAACAGUUUCAUGAUACGGAGAACAAAAGAAUUGGAACUCAUUAUAGAAAUUUAUCAGUAUUUUGAAAUUUUCUUGCAGCAGAAACUUUUUUUUCUUUUCUGGGUCGGAAAGAAAUUUCAGGCUCUCGAGUACUUGCUAUUUUAUGCUAAUGAUCAGCAGAUUUAGUUGGUUUCAUUUCAGUGAUGACAUAGCUGAGACUGGGAGUGUUAAAUGAAAGAGAAUUUAACAAUUUGAUGACCUAGGUUAAUUUAUCCCAGUCUCGAUUGAGACCAACAAUAGAACAUGCCCCCAAAAAAAAAAAAAAGGAAUCUCCCCAGAAGAAAACUCGUGAAAUUAGAAGGUUUUAGGAGGUCCUCUGGAGAACUUUCAUGAGCAAGAACGACUUUGUUUUUGUUUCAGGUGUUGGCCAAAACAAACAAAUAACGUGGGACGUGUUGAAGACUGGCGUCUCCACUACUGAUGUUGUCUUCUUUCUUCACCAGGAGACUGCAGAAGACUAAAAUGGCGAGAAGAACAUGAUAACCAAGAGUGCCAGAAUAAUUUGGAUUGCGGCAUAUUUUGUAGCAACUCUGUCUGUCAUAAAGAUUGAGGUUUUCCUUUGAAAAAUAAUACAGAUUGUUCAACGGACGAGCAACAAUAAGGAUGAAGGAAUACAAAGUGAUCAAGGAAACGGCUGGUGAAAAUAAUCUAACAAACCUUUCGGUGAAAAUAAUCUAACAAGCCUGGGCAGUUUUUUCUUGGUAGAGGUAUUCUGUAUCAACAAAGAGCUCCAGACUGCUGUAAAAUAAUUCUAAUACAAACGUCAGCCUGCUUAAUCUGAGGAGAGAAAUGGAGAUCAAUAAAAUUGAACAACUUAAUAUGCCCGCGCUGCAUUCCCCCGGUCACCUCUUCUUACGUGGAGUAGUUUCAUAGGGAGGAAGAGGAACACCAAACACCCAAUCAAGAACAUUCAAAUACUUUGAUCGAAAAACAUCCCUCUCUACUGCAUAGCAGUGCAUGAUUAUAGCUGUUGAGAUACUGAAAACAACUACAUCAGCUCUCUUCAAUUUCUUCGACUGAGGCAAAUAUCCUACAUCAGCCAUGCAUGUGAAGAAACUUUCAAUGGCCCUCGCCAUGCAAUAUAGUGCUAUCUCUAUCCGCCUGCUCUUUUUCUCAAUUGCCAACGCCAGACCGGUAGGAAACUGCCCAAGAUCAUAAUAAUAAGUUAUAAACAGGUUAUAUAAGCAAUAUCUAUUCAAGGAACAGUCAGAAAUAGUCAUUUCACCGUUCCCAUCGCCACCAUAGGAACAUUGCAUCUUUUGAGAAGCCUGAAGAGUAGGCAUGUCCACAUCCUACCAAAAAUAAGUAACAUGAUGACUUAGUUACAUAUAAGUGUUCACUAAUCUAAAGAAAAUAAACACAGUUCUAACACACCAUAUUGGCACAUUAAUUUCAACAUUGAAACACAAGAACAUUCAUUGAUCUUUCAUUGUUUUCCUUCAUCAAUUUAUUUUGCACUGCGACCUUUUCCUUCUUUUUCUAAAUGUUCUCUGAAAGGGAGGUGCAGGGACAGGGAGGAAGCCUGAGAUGAGUAGAAGGAAAAUCUCUUCAGAUUGUCAACUUAGCACCUAAAAGUAUCAUACUGAGUUGCAAGAGGAGAAUUUCGCAUCAGGUCAACCCGUAUUUGCAAGUACAGUACCAACUUCUGUUGUUAUAAUUUCGUUUUUGAUGUUACUCAGAAGGUCUAUAGCCAACCAGGGAAAGUUAUACACAUGCAUAGGCAUGAGGAGAGCAACAUAAGCAUAUAUAUGUAGAAGAGUUGGGAACGUUUGCCAGAAUCCAAGGUCAAGGAGCGGAGGACAAUGACACCACUAGCUACUUUAUAGAUAGCAUUUAGUAGUAUGGCUCACACAGGUACAAGGUAUUGAGAUAAAUCAAUUCCAACUACAGUAAGUUUUGACAGAUCACCGUGUUAUUGAGCUAAAACAAAGGUAGAUAUACACGUUGAGUCAUUUAGUAUUAUACAAAUAAGAAUACUUGGUUUGAGCAUUCCUUGAAGCAGGCAGAAGUAUGCAAAGAUCAUCUAUGCUACAAAUAUGAACAAAUUUGUGCUUACCAUGCAGAUGCACAAUACGUCGAGAGAAACAAGCUUGAUCUGAAAGUACCAAGGAGGCCUCUUGCCAAUAUUGAAAAAGGUCUGCGAAAAUUCAAAUACGAUAUUAGAGCUCAUAGCCGAAAAGAUAUCAAAGCUACCAGAAUUAAAAGAACAACAAUCCAUGCGAUCACAAGUUCUGGCUAACUUGUUCAGGACAACUACAAUAAGAUCUCCAAUCAACAAAAUAUUAAAAGUAAAGGCUCUAAUGCAUGAUUUGCUCCCAAAAUCUGGAAUUCAAUAGUAAAACAAACUAGUAAGAAACAGUGUAUUAAAAGCAGUCACUAUAAAUUGUCCAAGCGUAUCCAGAUCCUUAUUGACCAGUACAUAAAUUGACCUUCAGAUGGUGACCCUAGCCCCAAGGCUAUGGACAAAAUAAUGAUAUGGCCUAUUUAACAGGUUUUGUCAUUUGUCAUUGAUUAAAUUUCAAAAAAUGGACAUGCACAAGCUUUAAAAAAAGAGAAAAAUUAGAAAAUAAGGAACUUAAGCAAAAAUACUAUACCUCUUCAGGAGGCCUUGGCGAUGCACUAUCAAUGCAGGAAAUAGAUAGACUGGAAGAUACACGGGUAGUGCUCUUUUAUAGGCUUGUAAAAGAAAUGAAACAAAAUGCGCUUCACAUGCUUGUUUACCAUGUACUAUCUGCAUGCAUCAAAAAGUGUGCAAUGUAAAGAACAAGCUGACAAACCAGUGUUAAUAGAGAAAGAUUUAAUCAGAUCUAAAGAACCAAGGUUUACAGCCAGAGGAAAAAUAUAUAUAGUACUCAAGCAUCAGAAAUCCACGCUGAGAGAAUACCAAAAGUACUGUUUGCCUGAUCAAGGAGGAUCAACUAGGGGUUGAGAGGUCUAUUUUACCAACUACGGAUAUUUCUCAAUCAUGCAAUCAUUAAUUCUUUCCUCAAAGUUGAGCAAUACGUAAAAUAUUUAAUAGACCCAGUUAAGUCAUUCAAGUUAAGCUAGCUGUAGUCAAUCUUCCAUCAGUCAUACAAAGUUCUUCUGAACCAUGAGACAGCAUUGAAACUAUUACCAGAGUUUUAUGGUACAUGCUUCACAUUGCACCUUAUUCCUGCCUUCGACAUCAGGUGAGACUUGAAAAGCCAUGCAACUAUUGCGAUAGACUGUUUUACCUGUUGGACACACUUUACAGGGAGCCUAUACAGCACUAAAAGCAAAUGCUGACUUCAUGUUCAUUAAUGCUCUAUGUCUAUUGACAAACUUGAAUAUGUUGACAAUAUAGAUGGCACAAACGGCUUUUGCAUGAUAAAGAGUAUUAGAUACAUAAGCUUUUCCAGAUUUUAUUCAGAUAAACUGCCUUGAUUCCAUAUGAUCUAAGGUCAGCCAUAUGAAUUGUCUUCUUCUUUUUAUUAUUCAAAAACUAAAAUCUCUAUAGAAGGCAUUACAAUAGUGUAACUUUUCAUUGAUUAAUUGUCUGAAGCAAAUGUGCCGAAAUUCAACACUAACUUUUCACUUCAAUCUUUUAGGUGAUACUUUAACAUGUAAUAGACUAAUCACUUUUAUUCCACUUAUGGCAUAGCAAUUCUCACUGCUGGUUCUAUUAUUUUGUGAUAAUGAUGGCCCACUAGUUCUCCGAUUUAGUCCAAGAUCAUAUAUUCUCAUAUUGGUUUGGUAAACUCUAUUAGUAGUUUAGUACAAUGUUUCUUGAGUAUGAAGAAUCUAGUACUUGUAUACUUAAUCAAAACUACUUUAACCUCUUAAGUUGUCAUAAAGCUCUCCGUUAACACAUUUAUCAUGCAGACUAGUUGUAAAAGCUCUACUGCCUCAGAUACUUCCUAACUUACAAGCCUAGUAACAAUUUAACCUCUACCAACUCGAUGUUAACUAAAAUUACCUACCGAGCAAGGAACUUUCAUUUUGGGAUCCAAUGUGAUGUCAAUACCAGUUGACUUGUAAUGCUUUUCUAUGGCAUCCAGAUUUGAGAAAGGGAGGCCACAUGCAAUAUCUCUAACUCCUUGGAGGAUAACAGCAUCCUUUCCCCCAUGUUUGUUCAGAAAGGAUUUAUAAGAUGAGGGCAGGCUCUCUUGCUUCAAUAUGUAAGCAGACCUGAAAAGGAGAAUAUUUUUUCCUUCAGAUAAUUUUCUUAAAGAAAACAUACACUAGCUAUAUCUGCAAGCAGAACAUCCUUAAAACGAAUGGUUUAAAAUAUGAGAUGAAAAAUCAUGAGGUUUCCAAUAAUUUUGUAAAUGGAAGAUUUGGUGCGCAGAUGAAUUGAUCAGAUAUUUAGAAAAUGUAAAUUCCAUCGAUACCUCUUAAACAUCAAAAGGGAGAAACUUUAGUACUUUCAUCCCAAUAUGAUUCACAUAAACCACUAAGGGAAGUGUACAGGGAAGGAAGAAUUAGAGAGCUUGUUAUGGUUUUUGCAUGUGGUAUGUUUCAUUCAGAGAUGAAGAGACCAACCAGCUGGGAAAAUUUUGUCUUCAUUAGGAAUUUCAAUUUGAAAAAACUGUCAGCAGCUUUUGAUUUCAUCAUAUUAUUCAUGUAAAACAGGUAAAUGUACAUCUUUACAUUACAAAAACCAUAGAUCUUUACAUUGUACAUGUCUUUUAUAAGAAAGUCAAAGAAUUUUCUUAUUUAAGUUCAUAUCAUGAUCUGCGGUUUUAGCUUUCAUGUUUCUAAUUGUACCCAGAACUAUGUCAGCUACUUUCUCUUAUGCAAAAAGGAUGUAUGAAGGAAUUCAAUGGUGACAAACUUCAGCCAUCAAACAAUUACAGAGAACUUAAUAAUGUUCUCCUUUUUAUGCAAAACAGAUGUUUAAAGGUAUUCAUUGGUGACUGACUUCAGUCAUCAAACAAUUACAGACAACUUAAUGAUCUUUUCUUUCUUUUACAUACAUAUGUAGCUAAAGGAAAACGCUGGUAGCUGGAAAUGUGACACAAGAAAAGUCAACACUACCUCACCUUGCCUAAAAAAGAAGACGGCGAAGGAGAAGAAGGAAAAUUUAUUGCAAAAGAAAUUCAACAACUGAACCUAACAGCCACAGCUUAAGAACUGCAUGUCUGGGUUAAGAAUGUAAUGUACAGUAUAAGUUUCCAGUUCUGAAAACAUCUUAGCAUUUACAGCUGAUGAAAAAUAACCAAGUGGUUCAUUCCAACAUGACUCAUAACUCAAAAGCUCAGCAUUCAGAUAUCCACUAGAAUGAUUAACUAAAAUUUUUAUUAUCUAAAGUACCGAAGUGUCAUUUUAGAAAAAUGCAGCUCUCAAAUAGGAUUCAUAAGAACCAGUACAUGCUCUUGGUGCCUGGAGUCUCAUCUGGAGAAUUCAGACAAACAUCAUGGCAGCAGGUUAUCAGGUGAAAUUAUAUGCUUACAAUUAGCAACCAACAGAUACUAGAGCAAACCAGCAAAAAUGCUCAAAAUUAUGAAUUAAAGCAUCUAAAUUAUCAAGGUUUCAAAGGCAAAAUACGCACAAAAUCUGUGAAGAGGAAAGACACAUAAGAAAAAUGUCUCCAUGUGCCCAUGUUAGGGGUUUACAAAUGCGGCCAAAACGUUUGCUUUUGAUUCCACAACGUGAUGCCAAUACAGCAGCACGCAUCAGUAUAUAAAUAGCCAAACUUGUAUGCUGUGUCUUGUAUCCCGUCAGUAGUAUUGAAGGCCCUGCAAUUGCCCCUGCGAGCAACGCCCUCCAAUUUGCUGUCCUGAAUUACAAUGAAGGCAGAAAAGGCAAAAAUCAAACUUUACGCCAUCAAAUGUCCUUCCACAAAACAACUCCCCACAGAAGACGUCCAACAAGAAAGUUGUCCCGCUAUUUAGUGUUUACUAUUGAUUCACAAUUACACAGCCAACAAGGGGAUUUUAUCCAGUUUCCAAGGAAACAACCACAAAAUAUAGUGCUUCAUCAAAUAAUCAUGUAAAUUCAAAACUUUUGGAAGUCGUUUGACCCCCACAAACAAUAGAAAAAUAAAAUAAUUGGAAGUUGCAAAAUGGGGAAAAGUUCAAACAUCACAAGACAGACAUGCAAUGUAUAUGCAGAAGCAACGUAUACUACAAUCUCACUAAAAUAAGAAAUCAAGAGGAGCAUCCAUGCCUCCGGUGACCACCAAGAGCGGUAACAAUCUCGUCCACUGACACAAAUGUACCCGCAAAAGUCCCAAGAAAUAAUCCAUAUCUCAUGGUCUCCUUCACAGCCAAAAUUACAUCUUCACUGCUCGAAACCAUUUCCAUCUUCCUAAAAAUAAUCAAUCAAUUCAUCAGCUUAAUAUACUAAAAAUUAGCACCGAAUACACGUAAUUGGUGGAUAAUAAUUUGAAAAUUACAUUUAAACAAACAUACAUAUUUGCAUUACCAGUUUGCAUGGGAGGCAAAACUAAAUACUAGAUUGAAUAGCAAUUCAAAUUCCGCGAUCUCAGAAACAAAAAUCUCAUAGAUUCAAGUAAUAGAGAAGAGUGAAACAGUAGAAGUUACCUGGCGGAAGGUAAAGAUCGUCGCCGACGGAGACGAGCGAGGAUGGCGAAGAGACCGAGGCCACCUUUAAGGCCAGCGCCAAUAGUGAAACCUUUAACAGAAGCGGUGAAGAUUCUCCAGAGCCUAUCAUAGUCCUCAACUGGAUAAGAAUCGAAGCUCAACAGAGAGCAAGACGACGAGGACGACGGCAGGCUGGACGACUUCCUCCUGCAAAUCGAGCAGGUCUCGUCCGGUGAAGUGCAGGUGCAUUUUUCGUCCGCUUGAGGCACUUCUCCGUCGCCCACCGCCGCCGCCAUCCUGGUGGUGGUCGGAUGGGAGUCCGGACAAAAGUUUCCUUGAGAUAUCGGAAUUCUCUAUGGGGAUUGAACGAGGCCAGCGGAAAAGUUCCACGUGGGAUUUAAGAAGCUUUGUGCCCGAGAGUGGAAUCUUCAAAAAACUGAAAAAGGACGCCUUUAUUUUUCUUUCUUUUUUUGGUAAAUAGAGAUAAUUUCUAGAGAUAAUUUCAGAAAACCCCCUUGAGACCUCUAGCAAUUUCACUAAGUGCCUCUGACUUUCAAAAAAUAUCACAUACUGUGGCUAAUCAAGCAUUCUAUCCUCAUAAGGUUCCUUAUGGUUGCUAUCAAAAUAUAAAAUAUUUUGACAACAAAAAAAAAAGGUGUUGACCCUCCUUUUUUACGAGCCCAAAAAGAAAAAAGAUACAAAAUUGCCAUACAAAUUUGGCUCCAAUUUAGGUGUCAUAUUCGAACUGUGAUAUAUGUAAAACAAAGAUAAUAAAUAUGCAACUCUCUAACUAUGAUGUAUGUAAAUUAAUAAUCGUGAUAUGCGUACAAUUUUUAAGUUUUUUUUUCUUCUUUACUGUAAUUAUGUGCUUGCACCUUGAAAUGAAAAUAGUUUUACAACUUGAUAAUGCAAAAAUUAAUAUCUUGGCACUAAUUGCUGAAGCUAUUUUCGUUGCAGCUUGUCUUUGUAUCCAAAUCUUUCAUUUCCAUAUAAAUUUGUAGUAAUUUAACAAGUAGGCGUAUACUUGUGGCAUGACAAAUUCUCUCUCCCUUGAAACGAGUUUCUAUUCUUACUCUUUUUGUAAGAUGGGUUGAAAUGUUACCAAAAAAAAAAAAAAAUUGAAAUUAGAGAAAGUAAGCGAUAUGUUUAAAAGUUCAAGGGAACUUAAUGAAGCGGUAGGAAACCUUUAAUUCUCUUACUUUUGUUUACAUGUAUUCUACCGGAUCUGAAUAACGUUUAUAUCUAAUUUAUGUCACUAUUAGUCACUUUCUGCAUAUAAUUGCAUUCAUAAUCCACUAAUCCUGUCUUUUUUGAGAAAUAAUUUUGUAUUCUGGAUUUGCCUUGGUCUUUUUGGAUGUGGAAGCUGAAAUCUAAUGCCCUUUUCCCAAUCGAAAUAUGUGUUGGGCCAAAAACAGCAGUUUUGGGCUCCGGCUCCAAGAAGCAGUGGAAGGAACGGGCCACUCUAUUGCUGAUUCGAGUUUCACGGGCUCUCAAUUCAUAGGUUUCAAUUCAAUUCACCCAUUUUCAUAAUGCUAAACCAGCAAGACAAAAGCAUGGAAAUGUAGAACACGACUUUGCACGAAGUUUUGUUCUUUGGGUCAUUCAAAUCUCGUAAGGGGAAUCAAAGCCAAGCACAAAGAAUGAUGAAAGGUGUGAAAGUGAGAGUUGAAACCACACCUCAUGCUGAAAACCAAAAGCAAAUACAAGCUUGGUGAAGCACCAUGAGCAAUCAUCACUUUCACAUCACCCAAUCAAUUGGUGUUAUUUUGUGAUGAAGAAAGAAAACAAAAGUGCAUUUCAGAGAUACUACAUCAUACGAUUAAAGAUUGGGACUUCAUCUAGUAAUGUCAAUCUAAAACUCAGUUAAAAUGAACAUCUACCCUGCAGCAGGUAUUCAGGCACCAUCUUCCUUAGAGAAUAAGAUGCACAAAGUACACCAUGUUGCCUAUUAGAAGUUCAGAGUUGCACUCAGAAGAGUUUUGCUAUUAGCAAAAUCAAGUUUCCGGUCUACGUAUAACAGAUGAGAAAAUGGUCUAAAACCUAUGCUACUCAUUGUAUCAGUCUAGAGUCUAAAAGAUGAAAUGGGUGAGGAGUAAAGUAGAAGAGCUUUCAUACCGCUUGGAAAGUUAAAAGAGACGCUCAUUUUGAACUCUUUUGACUCCAAAAAUUCACU
rnacentral:lncRNA from 1 species